AUGCAGGACCCAGCAGGUACCCAGCCAUCCAGCCAACCCGCCUUACGUAAGGACUUCAUUUUCCUUCGGCUACAUCUCGCCGCCGCGCGAGGCACGGGAGAGGAGCCUAUUCCAUCUCCCCGUGCAGCCCCAUCCCCUGCGCCAGGCCCAAUGACCGCAUCCUCGCAUGUUUUAAUUUUUUUAAUUUUUUUUUUUUCCUUUCUUUUUCUCCUCUCCAAACAGCACAUCUACAGAGUGGCGUUUACCUAUUCGCUCGCGCCGUGGCUGCCACGCAACCUAUCUGGGCGGCCGGCUGGCACAGCCCGCGGUCACCGGAGCGAUGCCGAAGAGGAAACUCCGGGUCCCUCUUGGGGCGAGGGGCGCGCUGCGGGCCGGCUCCGGGCGGGCAGCUCUCCCUCCUCGGCGGCGGCGGCGGCGGGGAUGCUCCGCUCUGCGGCCAGCGGCGGGCAGCGUCCAUUGCAGCUCGGCGGGUCCGCGUCCGGAGUCCAGGGGCUCCGGCAGCCAGCGGGGGCACCCGGCCCCCGCUCCCCUAAACACCGCUGGCCAGGGGUGACUCCUCAUGCUCUUGGGAGAUUCAUGCUUUUUUUCUGAAGCCCACAAUUGUCUACUUCCCACCUUAUAGCUGUCUUCCUCUAUCAAGUCAAUUGUACCUAGAAAAAGCUUUUUGUACCUUGUGGCUUUGUUGUAGCCACUAAUUAUUCUCUGCUGAAAAGAAGAGGAUGCUGGUGUGGCUACCAUUACAGAGCUAAGAGGAGGCAGAAGGUGAGUGGGGAUUAUUUAGGCCAGAACAGCAGGUUCUGUAUCCCGAGGCACAGUCCCUUACAGUCUUCAGCUGCCCCUACUGGGCUGCUCUCCACUCUCAAGUAGUAGAACUGAUGUCAGAGGCUCACCAUUCAAUCUUCCUUAUGUUGCUAUGUAGUUGUCAGGGAUUAACUUUUGUUAGUAAAGCAGGAACAGGCAAGUCCUAUUAAGAAAACAUGACUGGUAGCAGUAGCUGAACUAACCUGAUACAAGAGUACUUGCCCAGUGACUCAAUGUACCCCUCAUCAAGCAACACUUUAGAAUGAACCACCAACCAGUAAAACUCAGCCAACCUGGAUGGUGCUCUCCACCUCAUGAUACUCAUCUACCUCAACCUGAAGGGCAAUAACAGAGCCCUACCCUUAGGAGUAUCCGGGACCAAGCCUGUGUAGCUGGAACCAGCACAAUAAAUGCUGCUCCUCUCAUCUAUUGACA
rnacentral:lncRNA from 1 species